GCCCGACUAGCUCAUCGGUAGAGCGCCUCACUAGUAUCUUUCCCGUCAAAAGGAACUGUACUUAAAAAUGAGGAGGCAACAGGUUCGAUUCCUGUGUUGGGCA